AACACGUGGGGAACCUGCCCCAUAGUCUGGGAUACCACUUGGAAACAGGUGCUAAUACCGGAUAAGAAAGCGGAUCGCAUGAUCAGCUUUUAAAAGGCGGCGUAAGCUGUCGCUAUGGGAUGGCCCCGCGGUGCAUUAGCUAGUUGGUAAGGUAAAGGCUUACCAAGGCGAUGAUGCAUAGCCGAGUUGAGAGACUGAUCGGCCACACUGGGACUGAGACACGGCCCAAACUCCUACGGGAGGCAGCAGAG
rnacentral:rRNA from 1 species